rnacentral:rRNA from 1 species
AUUGAACGCUGGCGGCAGGCCUAACACAUGCAAGUCGAGCGGAUGAAGGGAGCUUGCUCCUGGAUUCAGCGGCGGACGGGUGAGUAAUGCCUAGGAAUCUGCCUGGUAGUGGGGGAUAACGUCCGGAAACGGGCGCUAAUACCGCAUACGUCCUGAGGGAGCUAGUGGGGGAUCUUCGGACCUCACGCUCUCAGAUGAGCCUAGGUCGGAUUAGCUAGUUGGUGGGGUAAAGGCCUACCAAGGCGACGAUCCGUAAAUGGUCUGAGAGGAUGGUCAGUCACACUGGAACUUAGACACGGUCCAGACUCCUACGGGAGGCAGCAGUGGGGAAUAUUGGACAAUGGGCGAAAGCCUGAUCCAGCCAUGCCGCGUGUGUGAAGAAGGUCUUCGGAUUGUAAAGCACUUUAAGUUGGGAGGAAGGGCAGUAAGUUAAUACCUUGCUGUUUUGACGUUACCAACAGAAUAAGCACCGGCUAACUUCGUG